AUCAGCACCUCCAAAUCAGAGGCCAUGGUUCUCAGCCGAAAAAGGGUGGCUUGUCCCCUUCAGGGAGCCACAGCAGCGGGAUGAAAGACCCACUUGCGGCUCCGGAGCCACGGGUUGCCGAACCCUGUUCUAGCCUAUUAAGUAAAAAUAGCCUUGUCAAUGGUAUCAAAAGCUGCAGCAAGGUCAUGUAACACCAGCAAAUAAACACAACCCUGAUCAGAGGCCAGUAACAGGUAUUUAGCAAACACCAUUAUCCAGUGUGACUUUAUACAACUGAGCAAUUGAGGGUUAAGGGCCUUACUCAGGGGCCCAGCAGUUGCAGCUUGAUGGACCAGGGAUUUGAACUCACAACCUUCUGCUCAGUAGUCUAAUGCCUUAACCAUUAGGCUACAACUUCCCACAGGUCAUUUACCACUGUAUCAGUGCUGUCUCUGUGCUAUGAUGAAGCCUAAAUCCUGACUGAUACAUUUCAUGGAUAUUCUUACUAUGCAAAAGUUUAGGAACCCCUGACAAUUUCCAUGAUUUUCAUUUAUAAAUAUUUGGGUGUUUGCAUCAGCAAUAUGAUUGUGCUCUAUCAAAUAACCGAAGAACACAGUAAUAUUUCAGUAGUGAAAUGAGGUUUACUGGAUUAACAGAAAAUGUGCAAUAUGCAUCAAAAUAAAAUUAGACAGGUGCAUAAAUUUGUAAAUCAGUAUUUAGUAGAGCCAUUUUUAGCAAAAAUAACAGCCUCUAGAAUCUAGAGGCUCUUAUUUUUUUGUAUAGAUUCUGGAUAAAUGUAUUUUGAGCCAUUUGUCUUUACAAAACAUCUACAGUUCAGUUAGGUUUGAGGUAUUGCACAUCUUAACACACCUUAACACACCUUCUACCAGCUGAAGCACCUGAUUAUUAUUCAGUGUGAACCGUGUUUCUGUAAACCUCGUAAAUAAAUAAAACACUAAUAAUGAGUUAUAAAUGUGUGCUUUAUUUGUGCAGAAGAUAAAACAGACUGAAGAAGAAGCUUUGUCUUGUUACACACAAUAUCAGAUUGCUUUAAGUACUGUGUAGGUAAAAUGAAGCAUUCUGCAAA